rnacentral:tRNA from 1 species
GGCGGAUGUAGCCAAGUGGAUCAAGGCAGUGGAUUUGUGAAUCCACCCAUGGCGCGAA